rnacentral:misc_RNA from 1 species
AUUCGCUGAGGUCUAGCAGC